UACGUAGGGGGCAAGCGUUGUCCGGAUUUAUUGGGCGUAAAGAGCGUGUAGGCGGCCAGGUAGGUCAGCUGUGAAAACUCGAGGCUCAACCUCGAGAUGUCGGCUGAAAGCAUCUGGCUAGAGUCCGGAAGAGGAGAAUGGAAUUCCCGGUGUAGCGGUGAAAUGCGCAGAUAUCAGGAAGAACACCCGUGGCUAAGGCGGCUCUCUAGUACGGUACUGACGCUGAGACGCGAAAGCGUGGGGAGCGAACAGG
rnacentral:rRNA from 1 species